GAUGAACGCUAGCGGCAGGCCUAACACAUGCAAGUCGAGGGGCAGCACAGAAACAGCAAUGUUUUGGUGGCGACCGGCGGACGGGUGCGUAACGCGUAUGCAACCUACCUUUAACAGGGGGAUAACGGAGAGAAAUUUCCACUAAUACCCCAUAACAUCGAUCAAGGCAUCUUGAUUGGUUGAAAACUCCGGUGGUUAAAGAUGGGCAUGCGUUGUAUUAGGUAGUUGGUGAGGUAAUGGCUCACCAAGCCUACGAUACAUAGGGGGACUGAGAGGUUAGCCCCCCACACUGGUACUGGGACACGGACCAGACUCCUACGGGAGGCAGCAGUGAGGAAUAUUGGCCAAUGGGGGCGACCCUGAACCAGCCAUGCCGCGUGCAGGAAGACGGCUCUAUGAGUUGUAAACUGCUUUUAAACAGGGAUAAAGCACAGUAUGUAUACUGUGUUGAAGGUACUGUAAGAAUAAGGAUCGGCUAACUCCGUGCCAGCCGCCGCCGUAA
rnacentral:rRNA from 1 species